UAUUCGAUAGACUGGUCAAACCAUAUCCACACGUAUGUUGUUGCUCAUGAACUAAAUCUAUCACAAAGCUUGAAAAAAGAAUCAAUUCAGAAUGGAUGCCCUCCAGAGUCGAGUCUCCUAGAUCAUAAAUUCCCGGCAAGGAGGAUCAGUACUGCCUUCUCUAUCGAAUCCUCAGCAUCUGGCACAUAGUUUUUGUGAAUAGAUGUCUGUAGAAUAAAACUUUGCUUAACCACUGUUAACCAUAUGAUCAUGAAAUAUGAAGAGUAUCCCAAGUUUUAAACAUAAGUUUACUUUGCCAGCUGCCUGCCUUUCCUCUGAAUUUCUACAGCACUUGUCUAGAAAGCACAUAUGGAACUGUACUGUCUUAUAUGAGACAGGUAUGCAUGUAAUGAAGGAUAAGAGUAUGGACCAGAUACAAAAUUACAUCACAGGAAUUGCUUGCAAAGAGAAGCAGCAGCAAGAACCCUAGAAAGGGACAGACAGAAACCUCCACUUUACUGUUUACCAUUUAAAAAGGGAUCUAAAAUAAAUAUGACAAAUUGUC